GAUGAACGCUGGCGGCGUGCCUAAUACAUGCAAGUCGAGCGAACAGACGAGGAGCUUGCUCCUCUGACGUUAGCGGCGGACGGGUGAGUAACACGUGGAUAACCUACCUAUAAGACUGGGAUAACUUCGGGAAACCGGAGCUAAUACCGGAUAAUAUAUUGAACCGCAUGGUUCAAUAGUGAAAGACGGUUUUGCUGUCACUUAUAGAUGGAUCCGCGCCGCAUUAGCUAGUUGGUAAGGUAACGGCUUACCAAGGCGACGAUGCGUAGCCGACCUGAGAGGGUGAUCGGCCACACUGGAACUGAGACACGGUCCAGACUCCUACGGGAGGCAGCAGUAGGGAAUCUUCCGCAAUGGGCGAAAGCCUGCCGGAGCAACGCCGCGUGAGUGAUGAAGGUCUUCGGAUCGUAAAACUCUGUUAUUAGGGAAGAACAAAUGUGUAAGUAACUAUGCACGUCUGGACGGUACCUAAUCAGAAAGCCACGGCUAACUACGG
rnacentral:rRNA from 1 species